GAAAAGAUAUCUUUUUUCAGCCUCCAACCUAUGACCAUGACACUUACCUCUAUGUAUCUAAGUUCUUUUUAAUUUCUUUCAGUAACAUUUUGCAUUUCUCUAUCUUGCAAUCUUGUGCCUCCUUUGAUAAACUGCUUCUAAAUAUUUGAGAAGUUUGUUGAACUUUAGCUCAGGUCAAUUAUUAUUUGAAGUGUUAUUCUUUUAAUAAGAAGUUAUAUUUAGAUACUAUAAUCUGGGUAUGAGUGUUCAUUGCUAAUGAUUUGGUCAGACUUUCUAAGUGAACAUAACUAAGGAGUAUUCACUUUUUUAUAAAAAUGAAACAUCAUCUCUUACAUGUGUUAUUUAUUAUAAUUCAGAUUCAUGGGAUUUUUACUUUAAAUAAAUCCCCCCUUGUAUACCCAUUUCUCUUAUCUCAUGUCAAAAAUACCAUUUUAUAAAGUCACUAAUAUUUUUGCACACUCUCUUCAUCCCACAAUACACACAGUUUCCAAAUGACAGUACUAAUCAAAACAAACAAAAAGCAAUAGCUUAAGAUUAAAAAAAUUCAGUUCUUUUUGUCCUUGAGUUUAAUACCCCUAAAGGUGUAUAGUGGAAUUACCUGUUGACAUAAUCCUCUAUGUGGUUAUGCCAUUGACUCAUGAUACUAUUAGUUCCUGAAGUCUUGAAAGUUAGGCAAUCCCUGAUGUGAGAAGAAAUUGAAUCUGAAUAAUAAAUUAAAAUUAGGAUCAAAUGAAACCAGAUUAAUUAAAAUAAAUUAAAAUUAGGAUCAAAUGACACCAGAUUACUGUUAGAGCUAUAUUUACUUGUGGAGAGCAUGUCAGCAACAUAAAAUUCUUCUCUGAGCGUAGGGCCAUGCUUUCCAACAUAUAUGUAUCCCAUUUCAUCUCUUAAUAGUGAAGAGCUCUCAACAAUACCUUCUUUGUUGAUGGACUCACAGAUCUUAUUCACCUUUUGUAAUAGGUGACCAGAUUAAAAUAUGUAUCUAUCCAGUUUUUCUUAUUAAGUUAGAAAAUGUUUAUACAUUUUUCGAUCCUUUAAUUUACUUAGCACAUAGUGCAAAAUGUGUUUUAUCUCAUGUACCCACUCUGAUCUGCUGAUAGUGUCUGCUCAGGAACCCUGAAUUGAGAAAGAACCUGAGCAAAAGUCUAUCAUUGAAAUGCUAACUUCAGGACAGUAGGGGUAUUUUUCUGUUUAGUUUAAUGUCAUAGCCUUGGUUUGGUUUUAGUGUAUAGAAUAGUGCUUGGCACAUGCAAAUCAGUUAAAACUUGUUUAGAAUGAAGUGAAUAAGGUUCUCUGCCAUGGGUAUGCAUUAGGGAGCUAAAUGUGGAUUUAUUUAGAAUAUUAUUGCUAUCAUGCAUUCAUAUGUUUGUUUAUCCAGUCAUUCAGAAAUACAUUUUGAGCAUUUCAGUUUAGAUAUUUUUAUCAUAUGCUAGUUAUUGUGUUAGGCCCAGAAGUUUAAUGCAAAUUAAAGUCUUUGUCACUUAGAUUCUUAGGUUCUUAGAUAUGUCUAUGUUUCCUACUGUAUGAUAGAUUGUAUUCCAGAAAGGUUUCAUAGAUUGCAAUGCACUGAAAUUCCCCA
rnacentral:lncRNA from 1 species